rnacentral:rRNA from 1 species
CCUACGGGGGGCUGCAGUGGGGAAUAUUGCACAAUGGGGGAAACCCUGAUGCAGCGACGCCGCGUGUGGGAAGACGGUCCUCUGGAUGGAAAACUACUGUACCCAGGGACAAAGAUGACGGUACCUGGGGAGAAAGCUCCGGCUAACUACGUGCAAGCAGCGCCGGUAAUCCUUGGGGGGCGAGCGUUGUCGGGAUUUACUGGGUGAAAAGGGAGCGUAGGCGGGGAUGAAAGUUGGGUGGUAAAUCUACCGGCUAAACUGGUAGUCGCACUCAAAACUGCAGGUCUGGAGUGAAGUAGAGGCAGGUGGAAUUCCUAGUGUAGCGGUGAAAUGCGUAGAUAUUAGGAGGAACACCAGUGGCGAAGGCGGCCUGCUGGGCUUUUACUGACGCUGAGGCUCGAAAGCGUGGGGAGCAAACAGGAUUAGAUACCCGAGUAGUC